rnacentral:misc_RNA from 1 species
GAUGAAGAACGUAGCGAAAUGCGAUAAGUAAUGUGAAUUGCAGAAUUCAGUGAAUCAUCGAAUCUUUGAACGCACCUUGCACCCUUUGGCAUUCCGAAGGGUAUGCUCGUUUGAGUGUCAUUGUACUCUCACUCUCCCGAUGCUUUUGGAUCGGGAGUGGUGGACUUGGGUGUUGCUGCUUUGCUGUGGCUCGCCUCAAAUGGAGUAGUGCAACUCUUAGUUGGACAUAGUACGGCGUGAUAAGUGUCUUCGCCGGCGCCUCAUUAUAGAGGGUGGCCGAUCGGGAGCUCUGUGCUUCAAACCGUCUUCGGACAACAUCUGACAACUUGACCUCAAAUCGAGUAGGACUACCCGCUGAACUUAAGCAUAUCAAUAAGCGGAGGA